rnacentral:lncRNA from 1 species
GUGGGAGGCAGGGUGAGUGAGGAACGAAGAUGGGUCUGGAAAGGUAAAAUGAGGGACUGGGUCCUCAAGACCUUACAGCCUAUCACCAUCCUGGCCAGCAAUAGCACUUCACCAGGAUUCAAGAGGAGUAAAGGGGUAAGGGAUAAAAUGGAAGUUAGGGAAGCUGAAUUUUGAGCUGAAGGAUCUGCGACCUUGGAACCUGACUUUCUGCUUUAGCUUGGCUGUUGAGAACGUUCUUGAUUGUGGAGAAGUAAUUCCUACUAGGAAGCAAUUUGUAUCCAAGAGCUAUCAUGUUUCAAACAGCAUUAGUAGAAGCAUUUAGCAGUGCUGAUCAACUUGGAUAAAUUUGGAAGAGAAAACAGAGAUUUGUAAAUUAUUAUGGGAAACAGAAUCUGCAGAUUGGUGGGAGGAGGGAAAAAAGACUAGAGGAGGAAGGAAGCCAUAUCCUAAAAAGACAAGAGCUUGGUUAUAUACUGGCGGUGUUGUAGGGAGAGAGAAAAUUGCACUAAGCUGCUCUAGUGUCCGGCUCCCUCUGGAAAGCACUGUGAUUUGGGGUAAAAUAGCCUCGGAUGGCGAGCAAGCAGAAUUAAAGCCCAUCAACCCAGGAGCGCCUGGCUGACAAGUCCAGCAGUAAUGGUGAGGAGAGACAGCAGUUGAUCUGGAAUCAACCGAAACCUGGUUCCAGAGCUUGGUAGGUGCUAACUGCAAGGACAUACCUUGAGGAAGGAGUUUCUUGCACCAAGAAUUGGAUCUUCAGGAGGGAGCAAGCUAUGAUAAGGAGGAUGAUGAAACACGGGAAGCUGUUAGGCCUGAGCAGGGAAACAAACAUACUUUACGAUCUGAUAGGUCAGCCCGGGAAGGACAUAACCCCAGAAAUUGUGGGCGAUGUAAACUAGCUUGUAUAUGUUAGGUCUCCCUAGACUUUUCAGUGUGUAGACACAGUGUAUCUUGUUAGUAUUAGAUAUGUUCAUUAUGGCAGGUGUCUGUUAGUAAUCUGUCUAUUGUCAAUCCUUCUCUCUCUGGUUCCCUUUCCCUCAUUAGAUUUUGCUGGAUAGAAGAGUGACUGUACUGCCUAUUGUUCCACACUGUUCCAUACCCUGCCCACCCAACUUAACAAUUGCACCCCCACCCCCAUCUCCACCCUCUAGCAAGCUCCCUACCUGGCCCUAUUUCUAUCCCCUUGGCAUUUAUCAUCAUCUAAUAUUCUAUAUAAUUUACCUACAUAUUAUAUUUAUAAUUUAUUAUCCAUCUUCUCCUCCCGGAAUGUCAGCCCCAUGAGGGUGGAGGAUGUUGUCUGUUCUCAGUUUUUGUUUCCCGAAUGCCUAGAACAGUGCGUGAGGGCUUAGGAAGUUAUUGAAUGACUAAAUUUUGACUAAAUUGUUGGGCCCCUCAAUAAAUAUCUUGAUUAGUGGCAUACAUCUGAUGGUUCUGUCAUUCUCUGUUCCUUGCAAGUAGGGCUGCAAAGCCAGAUUUUAAAAUUAGCAUAGUCUCUUGUUUCUCUCUGAGUUGGGGGCAAGUACAACAGGAUUGGCCUGAAAGGAGAGAGAUAACAUAAAUUAAGAUGGGAGUGGCCUGGGACCCAGAAAGACUGAAGCACAAUUUAAAGGUCUUUCUGCUCGAGUUGACUCUAAUUCGAAAAGGCCCAGAAUUUCCCUCAGUGUCCAGCUUACAGUUAGGAGACCUUGCGUAUAGUUUUGUUUCUGUCACAAAUGUACUACUUGAUGUUGAACAGAUUACUGUAUUUGUUUCAUUGUUUAUGAGAUGAGGGUAAUAAAAGUUUACCUUUUUGUGUUGCAUAAAGCUUUUUAAGAUAACAACAUGAGAUACAGUAAAAUACUUUAAAAAGUUGAAGAUGCUAAACAUUUGUAAACACAUUAUUAUUAUUAAAGCUUUUAUCUUUAAAUCUUUUCCCUAAGAUACCAUAUCCCAAUGUGUAGGCCAAGAUUUUAAGGCUUGAUAUAUAAUUGUUUUAGCUAAUAUUGUUUGCUUAGUUUCUAUAUGAGACAUUUCCUGGUUUAGAAUAUCAAUGAGUUUUUGUAUGAUACUUAUUUUGUAUCUUCUUCAUUCAG